rnacentral:rRNA from 1 species
CAGCAGCCCGGUAAUACAGAGGGUGCAAGCGUUAAUCGGAAUUACUGGGCGUAAAGCGCGCGUAGGUGGUUUGUUAAGUUGGAUUUGAAAUCCCCGGGCUCAACCUGGGAACUGCAUCCAAAACUGGCAAGCUAGAGUAUGGUAGAGGGUGGUGGAAUUUCCUGUGUAGCGGUGAAAUGCGUAUAUAUAGGAAGGAACACCAGUGGCGAAGGCGACCACCUGGACUGAUACUGACACUGAGGUGCGAAAGCGUGGGGAGCAAACAGGAUUAGAUACCCCCGUAGUCCCUGUCUCUUAUACC